rnacentral:rRNA from 1 species
AUUGAACGCUGGCGGCAGGCCUAACACAUGCAAGUCGAGCGGAUGAAGGGAGCUUGCUCCUGGAUUCAGCGGCGGACGGGUGAGUAAUGCCUAGGAAUCUGCCUGGUAGUGGGGGAUAACGUCCGGAAACGGGCGCUAAUACCGCAUACGACCUGAGGGAGCAAGUGGGGGGUCUUCGGACCUCACGCUAUCAGAUGAGCCUAGGUCGGAUUAGCUAGUUGGUGGGGUAAAGGCCUACCAAGGCGACGAUCCGUAACUGGUCUGAGAGGAUGAUCAGUCACACUGGAACUGAGACACGGUCCAGACUCCUACGGGAGGCAGCAGUGGGGAAUAUUGGACAAUGGGCGAAAGCCUGAUCCAGCCAUGCCGCGUGUGUGAAGAAGGUCUUCGGAUUGUAAAGCACUUUAAGUUGGGAGGAAGGGCAGUAAGUUAAUACCUUGCUGUUUUGACGGUACCGACAGAAUAAGCACCGGCUAACUUCGUG